UUAUCUAUCAUCGCAAGCGACUAUUUUCAUUUCCGGAAAUAUAAUAUAUUCGUAUCUCUAUGAUCCUGUAAGUGACGUAUAUUGGAUGCAGCUACGGGAAAAGUGUUCGUAUCGAUUGAGGAGAAGCCAAGAUGGCGGCGGCAGUAGGUGGCGGCGAUUUGGGCGCAGGAGGCCACGGCGUCGCAGAUGUCAACCUCCUGGGCCUGGAGGGCGAGGCGGGGCCAGACUCAGAGCCCGACUCGGAGGUGUUUUCGUGCGUGGCCCACUGCUCCGACCUCGCCUGCCGCCAGAACGAACAACGGCGGUUAGGCCUCUUCUGUGACGUCACGUUAGCCUUCAGUGGCGGCAGCAAUGAGGAGGAGGGGGAACUGGGCGGGGCCUCAUCCGGCUCCGAUCCGCCGCCGCGGGAAUUCCGCGCGCACCGCUCAGUCCUCGCAGCGGCCACCGAAUACUUCGCUCCUCUCCUUCUGGGCGACUUCGCGGAGUCCCGUUCGGGGCGCGUAGAGUUACGAACAUGGAGUUCGGGAGCCGGACCAGACCCGGAGACGAUCGAGGCGGUCAUCAGCUUCAUGUACACGGGAAGCGUUCGCGUCAGUCCUGGCAACGUGCACGAGGUUCUGGAGUUGGCCGACAGGUUCUUACUAAUACGUUUAAAAGAGUUCUGUGGGGAAUUUCUCAAGAAAAAACUGAGUCUCUCCAACUCUGUAGCCAUUCACAGCUUAGCUCAUAUGUACUCUUUGAACCAGCUGGCUUUAAAAGCUGCUGAGAUGAUCAGGAGGAACUUCUACAAAGUCAUCCAAGAUGAAGAGGUCUAUACAUUGCCAUUUCCCCUUAUUAGAGACUGGCUUUCAGAUUCAGAAAUCACAGUGGAUUCAGAAGAGGUUCUCUUUGAGAUGGUUUUAAAGUGGGUGCAGAGAAAUCCUGAAGAAAGAGAAAAGUAUUUCGGAGAGCUCUUUAAGCUUCUCCGACUAUCACAAAUUAAACCAACCUAUUUGACUCGGCAUGUUAAAUCUGAAAAGCUUGUAUCAAGCAAUGAAGCUUGCCUCAAACUUGUGAUGGAAGCAGUGGAAAGCCAUGCUCUCAAGGGUGAGAAUGUUCAGUUGGGUACGCUCCAACAAGUUACCUCCCCCAUCUCGUCUCUGCCUCGCUUCGGCCAAAACAUGGAUGUUAUCAUGGUCAUUGGUGGUGUAUCUGAGGGUGGUGAUUACUUGAGUGAGUGUGUGGGGUACUUUAUUGAUGAAGAUAGAUGGGUGAAUUUACCGCACAUACACAAUCACCUUGAUGGGCAUGCUGUGGUAGUAACCGAAUCCUAUCUUUAUGUGGCAGGUUCCAUGGAGCCUGGUUUUGCCAAGACCAUGGAAAGGUAUAACCCAUGUAGAAAUGUUUGGGAGCAGGUUUCUAAUCUGAUAACCAGGAAGCAUUCUUUUGGACUUACUGAGGUAAAGGGAAACCUCUACAGUAUUGGUGGGCAUGGGAAUUUUAUCCCUGGUUUUAAAGAUGUAGCUGUCUACAGUCCUGAUCAAGAUAAGUGGCACAACUUGGAGUCUGCACCAAAGAUACUCCGGGAUGUUAAAGUGAUUACAAUAGAUAACAGAUUUGUUUACAUGGCAGCUCGCACACCAGUUGACGGAGAUAAUGAAGAUGGCUUGAGGUCUGUCAUUAUUCGCUAUGAUGCAGACACACGACAGUGGCGAGAUUGUGAGUCUCUGCCACUCCUUGACAACUAUUGCUGCUUCCAAAUGGUGGUGGGCAACACCAAUUUUUACCACACCGCUUCAUGUUGUCCCAGAAGCUAUCCUCUAGACCAUGAAGAGGCCAAGAGAAAAAUCUCUAACCAGGUAUCUGAUGACAUUCUGGAAAGCUUGCCACCAGAGGUUCUUAGCAUUGAAGGGGCAGCUAUCUGCUAUUACAAAGAUGAUAUUUUCAUCAUAGGUGGGUGGAAGAACAGUGAUGAUACUGACAAACAGUACAGAAAAGAGGCCUACCGCUAUUGUGCUGAGAAGAAGCGUUGGUUGUUACUCCCUCCUAUGCCUCAGGCUCGCUGCCGUGCUACAGCCUGUCAUGUGAGAAUCCCUUUUCGGUCCUUACAUGGUACCCAGAAAUAUCCAAUGCCACAAAACCUAAUGUGGCAGAAGGACCGGAUCCGGCAGAUGCAAGAGAUACACCGACAUUCCUUAUGUUUACGGAGGAUGCCUCAGUCUCAGAUAGAAUGCUAGCUUGAAUAAAUACAUCAGAAAUACUCAUCUGUAAUUGUCAUGCCUGACCUGAACUAAUGGUCACCAAAACUGCUGAAGUGUUGGAGACAAGGCUUUCUUACUAUAUAUUUCCCAAAGUGUCAAACACGUUACUCAUGAAAUCAUCCUUGCCUAGGUAGAGUACCUCUUCAUCUCCCCUUAUGGCCUUGUGUCAUAAAUGUGGUAAAUAAAGACAUAGUGAUGGCAAUAUCUAAGAUAUCUCAGGAAAAAUCAAGGUCUGGUGCAUAAGGUCUUCAAAUGGUGUAUAAAUAGAAUCCUCAGAUAUAGAUUUUGCCUCUUCUUCAUCUAUAAAUAUUGUCUGAAAAACAUUUAAGUUCAUCUAGGUCUGCUAUUAUCUCGCUUUUUCUUCUCUUUUAACGAGUCUGGAUUUAUUGCUCGGAGCACAAAAAUGAAACAUGGAGAUGAAAUCAAUAUGGGAAAGAUCUGCAUUGGGCAAUAUUAUUGAUGGUGUUUGGUAAAUAUGUCUUAAAUUUUAGCAGCACUUUUUUUAAAAAAAACUGUUUUACAAUUUAGCAGGAAACCUAAUUCAUGUCUGAGAUACUGGGGUAAGUGUUGAAAUUGCAUGGAUGUGUGGGUUUUCCUAAUUUAUCUUUGCCAUCCUUAUUAUUUAUUAUUUAACUGCAUAGUGUAUGGGGGCAUGGUUAAACCUAUGAGUUGCAGUAAUUAUCCUAAUAUCAAUUAAAACUAACGUGUUCUUGUACCACAGUGUCACAAACAACAAACCAAUUAUGCCGCUUGCCGCCUUAAAGAUACUUUAUUGUUACCAGCCACUUUUUAUGAUGUAAUAGCUGCUUCAGAAAGCAAUUUAUUUUCUGGAAAUCAUUUGACAUUCCAAAGCUGCAGGAAUCUAAACUUCCUCUCUGAAAACUAUUAUCUGAAGUACUAAUUAAGAAGUACCUUUCUUAAGGACGUUAUCUAGCUCCAAGUCUGGGCACAUUUAUAUGGAAAAUUUAAAAUUGUUUAAUUUGGAGUAAAGUUUUUCAAUCUGAUGUUUUUUUUAGAUAUCUCAGCAUUCCUUUUAAAUAUAAUUAAAUGGAUUAAGCUUGUAGUAUAGUCAGGUCCCUAUUAAAUACUUUGAAAACUUUGUAGGAAGUAUAGCUGGUUUUCAUUGCAAAUCUUUGCCAAAGGCACAAAUAAGUUAAUGUAUUGACUAUACUAAUUAAAAUGCUUCUUUAAAAUUCUUAUUUAGUCUGGGUAAGUUUUGUAUUUUAAAAUCAUAAGUCACUUUGGAUGUUGCUUGUGAAUGAAGUCACAGCUAUUCAGUGCUGCUCUUGGGGAUUUCAGUUUGCAUGUCAAGUUAAGAGCACCCUAGUGAGCAAUUGCAUAGUAUAAUAUGUAGCAUGAAAUGUCGAAGUUUCUUAAUGUAGUGUUUGGAUAUUAUGCUACUAACUUGCUCUCCUGGUCUGAAUGAACAACUCUGGCCUCUAUGUAAAAAUCUCUUUACUUAGUCAUGACAACCUUGUCAAAACUGUCUUAUGACAAAGGAAAAUCUUCCAACAGAUUAUCAAAAUAUUUCCAUUUGGAAUUAUUAACACAUCUAGAUUAUGUUUCCGGCAUAUUUGAGAGUUUCAGUUAAAUGAAUAAGACUUCUGCUUGAGGAAAAUAAUUAAAAAUAUGUUUUGUUAUUUCCUGCAACCAAAAGAAAUUGCAGUAGAAAUGUUCAGAGACAGACAAAUUUCAAAGUUACAUAGGGACUUAGGAAACAAUAAUUUUUUAUAAGUUGCUAAUUUUCUACUGACAGAAUGUAUGAUUCCACAGUUUGCCUUUAUUUUAUGAUCCUGCUGGAGUAUACUAAAUCUUUUUAUAAUAAACACAUUAUUACUGCAUAAUACUGUGUGAAGGUGAUAUUCAUAGGCAUAUAUUCUUCAUAUACAGUAUUUGAUCUCUUGCUUUGUAUUCAAAGCAUCUUUAACAACGAAGGUAAUUAGAUAUAUCAGUACAAUGUUAUUAAGGCGCAGGUAGUCUUUUACUUACAACUAUUUGAUUAGCAACUAUUCAAAGUUAUAAUAGCACUGAAAAAAUUGGCUUACAACUAGUAUGCACACUUAGAACACUCACAGCAUCCCCACGGAUACCUGAUGAAGUUUCAGGUGUUUAGUAAUUGGCAUGCAACAUUCCAGGGUCAUGUAAUUGCCAUUCAUGUUCUUUCCAGUCAGCUUCCUACAAGCAAACAAGGGAAGCCAGAUUUGCAUGACAACUGCUUGAUUCACUUAACUGCAAUGAUUCACUUAUGACCUGUGGCAAAAGAGGUCAUAAAAUUGAACACGUCUCAUUUAACCACUUUGCUUAAUAAUGGAAAAUCUGGUCCCAAUUGUGUUUGUAUAUCAAGUAAUCUGUACAGUUUUGCCACAGAUAAUGUUGGUUGUUUUCAUAAGCUCUACAACAAAAAACAUAGUAUCAAAAAGAUUUUUAGUUAGUCGCUAUUUAAUCAAGUGACAAGUAAUUUGCAAUAGUUGCCACAAAUGACAGUUAUAAGCGUCUUUCAUCUUGAACUCACAUUGCACAAAUGACACUUGAUGAGGGGAGAGUAACUCAGGAGAAGGUGGAGUUUUCCUCAUUUGAAGGAAACUGGUAGUAUCAGCUGUUUUGUAAAGAGUUUUGGGGAAAUAUAGAAACAGCAGAGUUUAAGCUUAGUUUCUCUCCCAUCAAUAGCUUUGCAAUUCUAGCAAGGGUUUAUUUGCUUACAACAGUUGUAAAUCUGUGAAUGGUACAAAUACUCAGUUGGUAUGCCAAGUUAGACUUGUGGAUCUCUUAAUUUACUAUUAUACUUGCAUGUCACAUAGUGUGCCAAACUAAAAUAGAGGUAUAUAUUUGUCUUUAAUUAUGAAACUUUUCUGAAGGUCAUUAUUAGAUGCAGAAUUGCAAUUGCCAGCUUCUGGUCUUCUCUAAAUCUAAUUAAAAUAGUAAAAAUAUAAAUAUAUAAAUAUAAAACAUUAUAAAAUAUAAAAUUCUUUCUCCAGGAAAGAUUAAGAAACCAUAAGAUAAUUUUCUGUUUCAUUUUUCUGUUGUGAUCCCAGUUUCCCUUGGUCUGUUCCUCAAUAAAUGGGUCAGCUCUCAGAGUGCAAUGUAACUUCAUCCCCGUUCAGUAGAAUUCUCUAGAUGCUAUGCUGAAACCUAAGCUUUAUUUUUUUAAAAUGCAGUUCUUUGUGUUGUAUUACAGUUGUGUAACACUAAAUACUAAUUCAAUAAACAUUUUAUUUCUCUA